CGCUGUGCCUCAGAAGCCUGCUCCCUCCCCAUCCUUGGUCCUCGCCUGCAAUGAGGACACGGGCCUCACCAGGUGCUGGACGUGUGCCCAGAGACCCUCCCGCUGCUGGUGGCUUUGGCGGUCUGUGGUGUGACCCGCUCACCCUGUCCUGCGGGAGGCUGUCCACUGUCUCAGGAGGGCUGUGCUAUGGCGUGCACACCGGAGCCCCCGCCACCCCACACCCAUCAGCGGCGGGCUUCGUGUCAGGCUCUGUGUUCCCCCCCACGUUAGGUUCCGUGUCUGGGAUUUUUAGCAAGUUAGAGACACAGCCACAAGAAUGCACUCCCGGCGUGGGGCCCUGCAAAGCACCCGGCCUCCCACCAGUCCCCCCAGACCUCUGCCCCCACAUGGACAAAGACAUGCCCAGCACACACAGGGCAAAGGCACAGGACCCGCCUGGCCAGCUCACACGGAUCACACGCUGCAACACAGCUUCUGUGCACGUGUGCACGCAAGGUCAUGCCACAUGUGCUCACACACAUGCACAUACAAUCAUGCCACACACAUGCGUACACACACACAUGGACAGAUUUUAAUUGAUUUCUUUUUAAAUUAAAAUAAAAUAAGUAGUUAUAACAAACUUAAAGACUGGGGAGUUAGCAUAGUGAUUCUGCAAAAGACUUUUCUGCCCUAGGCUGUGAGGCCCCGGGUUCAACCCCCAGGACUACCAUCAACCAGAGUUGAGCAGGGCUCUGGUAUCUAUCUGUCUAUCUCUUUCGCUGUCUCUGCCAUUAAAAUACAUACAUACA